rnacentral:tRNA from 1 species
GGGGGAUUAGCUCAAGUGGUAGAGCGCUCGCUUCGCAUGCGAGAGGCAGUGGGAUCGAUGCCCACAUCCUCCA